UCCUGGCUCAGGAUGAACGCUAGCGGCAGGCCUAACACAUGCAAGUCGAGGGGUAUUAGGAGCUUGCUCCUAAGAGACCGGCGCACGGGUGCGUAACGCGUAUGCAAUCUACCUUGUACAGGGGAAUAGCCCAGAGAAAUUUGGAUUAAUGCCCCAUAGUAUAAUUGAAUCGCAUGGUUUAAUUAUUAAAGUUCCAACGGUACAAGAUGAGCAUGCGUCCCAUUAGUUAGUUGGUAAGGUAACGGCUUACCAAGACAAUGAUGGGUAGGGGUCCUGAGAGGGAGAUCCCCCACACUGGUACUGAGACACGGACCAGACUCCUACGGGAGGCAGCAGUGAGGAAUAUUGGUCAAUGGGCGCAAGCCUGAACCAGCCAUGCCGCGUGCAGGAAGACGGUCCUAUGGAUUGUAAACUGCUUUUAUACAGGAAGAAACAACUCUACGUGUAGAGUCUUGACGGUACUGUAGGAAUAAGGAUCGGCUAACUCCGUGCCAGCAGCCGCGGUAAUACGGAGGAUCCAAGCGUUAUCCGGAAUCAUUGGGUUUAAAGGGUCCGUAGGCGGUCUUAUAAGUCAGUGGUGAAAUCUCCUAGCUCAACUAGGAAACUGCCAUUGAUACUGUAAGACUUGAAUUUUUGUGAAGUAACUAGAAUAUGUAGUGUAGCGGUGAAAUGCUUAGAUAUUACAUGGAAUACCAAUUGCGAAGGCAGGUUACUAACAAACGAUUGACGCUGAUGGACGAAAGCGUGGGGAGCGAACAGGAUUAGAUACCCUGGUAGUCCACGCCGUAAACGAUGGAUACUAGCUGUUCGGAGCAAUCUGAGUGGCUAAGCGAAA
rnacentral:rRNA from 1 species